UUAACUUGAAGAAAGCAAUGGAGGAGCUAGAGGUGUUGAGUUGAGAUGGAUCUUGUACAAAGAUAGGGCAAGAGCUUUAGAGAUUGCCUAUCAAGAGUGAUGAGGAGUCUAAAGGUGUCCAGAAGUGAUCUGAUGGAUGUUCUAAGCAAGGUCAAAGUCUAGGAGAGACUUAGAAGAGUGUUGAGGAGCAAAUGGGCGAGUGUGCAAAGAUAGGGCGAGGCUGUACGGCCAUGUACGGAUCUGUACGGACCGGUACGACCCGAGAGAUCACAACUCGCCCAUUUGAGAUGUUUUGAGAUUGUGCAAAGUCCGGGACAAGAUGUGCAAGCUUAGGGCGUGAUCAGAACAUGUCAAGGAGGCUUUGUGCAAUCUUAGGGUGUUGGGAGAAGGCCCUGGUCGUUUGGAAUCAAGAAGGCAUCAAGAAGGCAUCAAGAAGAUGCUUUGUGGAGGCAAACAACCAAUGGGAGCUUCCUUGUGUGUGAUUGGCUAGUUCUGGUCUUGGACAGGCUGUCUCUUGCUGUAAAGAGAAGGGAGCCACGACCAUGAACCUGGACAGAUGCAUGGGAAGAUUAGGAGGAGCCUAAGGAGAGCCAAUCACAAGCAAGGAGCCAGCUUGCCUUGGUUUGAAUUAAAGUGAACAGCCAACCUUAUCCUCACAACUCUUCAGAUAUUACAAGAAGACCAUCUCAUCUACACCAUCCAUUCACUCAAGUUAAUAUUAUCCAUUAGAUUUAGGUUUCAGAUUGUGUAAACCUAUUGAGCUUAUAAAUAAGCAUGUAAAUGGCGAUUUGGAGCAUUAAGGGAGUAAGGGGGAUUUCCCCUCUCCACUUCAUGGAAAUGAAAAGUGUUCUUGAAUCAGAUUCUCUUAAUCUCUCCCUUUCUUAGUCUCUAAAUCUCUUAAUCUCUCAAAGUGUCUUGUUUCUGAUUUAAGUAAACACUCUUAUCAAUCUCUCUUUCUAAAUCACCUAGAGCAAGCUCUCAUCUUUCUCCAUUGGAGUUUAUACACACACAAACACAACUAGAGAAGAGAACUCUACAAAUCUCACAUGGUAUCAGAGCCAGGUUCAUCAGAACCUGAGCUGAAGCUUCCGCAAACACACUGCUCUCUCCUCAGCUCAAAUCCAAACCAGUGAAGCUCUCUCCAUCCGGUUCAGCCUCUUAUGAAGAAGAAGACUGAAGCUUGGCGAGUCCUCAUGGUUCCUCAUCCUGUUCUCUUCCUGUCCUGAUGGUGGUUCACAUUGGAAGCAAAGGUGUAUGGACAAGGCCUAGCUAUCCUUGUACCAAGGCGCCUUGUCCAAGAGAAGAUCACAUCCGGUUCCAAAGAAGAUGGUGUCAAGUGCUUGGCGCCUAGUGGAGAUGAAGAAAGGAGGGGUCUUUGAAGCUGAUGGUACAAGAUGGAGGCCAUGAACUGAAGGUGAAGGAGGUGGGUGACGAUCCAUACUCCCAAAACCAGCAAAGCAUGGCCGGUUUCAUGACAGGUUAAGGAACCAAUCUGGUUCCUUGGGGUAAACGAUUCUUAAAACCUUCUUGAUGAUGAGCAGAUGAUUAUGAUAAGUUGUGUGUUGUGAUGUGAUUGAAAACCUGAGGAUUGUUUAAGGAUUGCUAAAUGAAAAUGAAUUUAGAAUCUAUCCCAGGAUGCUUAAAAGAGACUUGUUUGGUGAUUGAGAUUGAUUUUAAAAUGCUUAGCUCCGGUUCAUUGUAGUGCUUGUUGUGAUUGAUUGAAUCUGCUUGCAUACAUGAGUAAAAACCGACUGAAAGUUAGUGCAUAGUGGCUUGAAGUUACCUUACAUUGAGGCACUAGAUUAAUGUCUAGUAGCUGAGUAAAGGAGCUGUCAAAAAUUGCCUAAGUGUCUUGUAAUGAAUCUGUAGGAUCAUACUAGAACUUAGAGAGCUGAGCUUGCAAUGAUUUGAAAUGGAUGUCUUGUUUGAUCUUGCAUUGCUUUAGUGAGACAUUGGUGUUCAAGCUUGAUGUGGAAUCAAGGACUGACCCAAUGCACCUAUGUCUAAUCUUCUCUGGAGGUUGAGUGGUGUUUCAGGUGCACAAGGAGUGUUCUUAGUUCUUCACCAAUCCAAGAGAAAGAGGAAGGCAUUGCCCAUUGUCAUGAGCAAUGGAGAGCGGUUACUGAAGUGGUUAUGUGCCACUGGUUAGUGAAGACUCACGGCUGCUCACUUCCAAGCUUGGACCCUCAUUCUAUCCAAGCUUGAGGAGGGGAGUUAAGUGAGCAGAAGAAGAAAGUUCCACAAGAGCAUUCCCUGAAGAUGGCGAGUUGAAGAAGUGCUGCAAGGGUCUGAUGGUGUGAUCAUGAAGCUGCUCUCCCAAGCUUGACUUGUUCCACAUGGUCAAGCUUGAGGGGGAGUGUUGAGAAGACUUCAAAUGAUCACAAAGGUGCCGGUUCAAGAAGGUGGACGGCAGUGAGCAAACGUAGAGAAUCAAGAAGCUCUCCUUCCAAGCUUGACUUGUUCCACAUGGUCAAGCUUGAGGGGGAGUGUUGAGAAGACUUCUUGAUGAGAGCACUUGGCGGUUAUUCAAGAAGAGGAGCAGACCGGUUUGUGAAGCAAGAUGGAGGAUGGUGAAGCAAUCUCCAAGGCGGCCAAAGCAGAGCCGCCUUGGUACUACAGGCUGAGGCAUCCGACCAUGAAGCUUUAGAACAAGGUGGAAACUCUAGAAGAAGAAGCAGCCAAGGCUCAGCUAUUACUUGAUACUCUUGAGAGGAUGAUCUGAAGGUUCCAUUCUAGUCAUCUAGCAAGCCGGUUAGGUGAAAGGGGAAGUGAAGGAGAUCAGACCGUGAGAUGAGUACAAGAUGAAGAGUGAUGAGCAAGAGAAGAUGUGAUCUACCUUGCAUCACAAGAAGGGGCCGUGAUCCAGAGUCUUUGUGUCCCUUACAUUGUUGGUAAGGCACAAAGACUCACUGGCCAAUCCCUAGGCCUUGGAGGCUUUACUCUUUUUCCCUCAUCAAGGUUUUGUCCCAAAGGGUUUUCCUUGGUGAGGUUUUUAAUGAGGAAGUUCUUCAAGGUUCCAAGCUUGACUUAGGAUCAGCUAAAGUCAAGCUUGAGGAGGAGUGUUAACUUGAAGAAAGCAAUGGAGGAGCUAGAGGUGUUGAGUUGAGAUGGAUCUUGUACAAAGAUAGGGCAAGAGCUUUAGAGAUUGCCUAUCAAGAGUGAUGAGGAGUCUAAAGGUGUCCAGAAGUGAUCUGAUGGAUGUUCUAAGCAAGGUCAAAGUCUAGGAGAGACUUAGAAGAGUGUUGAGGAGCAAAUGGGCGAGUGUGCAAAGAUAGGGCGAGGCUGUACGGCCAUGUACGGAUCUGUACGGACCGGUACGACCCGAGAGAUCACAACUCGCCCAUUUGAGAUGUUUUGAGAUUGUGCAAAGUCCGGGACAAGAUGUGCAAGCUUAGGGCGUGAUCAGAACAUGUCAAGGAGGCUUUGUGCAAUCUUAGGGUGUUUGGGAGAAGGCCCUGGUCGUUUGGAAUCAAGAAGGCAUCAAGAAGGCAUCAAGAAGAUGCUUUGUGGAGGCAAACAACCAAUGGGAGCUUCCUUGUGUGUGAUUGGCUAGUUCUGGUCUUGGACAGGCUGUCUCUUGCUGUAAAGAGAAGGGAGCCACGACCAUGAACCUGGACAGAUGCAUGGGAAGAUUAGAGGAGCCUAAGAGAGCCAAUCACAAGCAAGGAGCCAGCUUGCCUUGGUUUGAAUUAAAGUGAACAGCCAACCUUAUCCUCACAACUCUUCAGAUAUUACAAGAAGACCAUCUCAUCUACACCAUCCAUUCACUCAAGUUAAUAUUAUCCAUUAGAUUUAGGUUUCAGAUUGUGUAAACCUAUUGAGCUUAUAAAUAAGCAUGUAAAUGGCGAUUUGGAGCAUUAAGGGAGUAAGGGGGAUUUCCCCUCUCCACUUCAUGGAAAUGAAAAGUGUUCUUGAAUCAGAUUCUC
rnacentral:lncRNA from 1 species